AUUGUUCACCCCCUACAUUUACAUUCGCAUGCUUGUACGAUCGAUAUACAUUUUGUUUUGUCACGAUCUCUGUUGGACAAUUAUACAACUAUAACUCCUGUCUUGUAAUGGUAGAAAGACUUGAAACUGUGUAUUAGACGUCUGUCUCCUUUUUUUAUCUCCCUCCCUCAAGCUGAUCUGCCUUGCAGUUUUGUUGGGUUCAAGACUUCUGAUGUUUACUUGCAUGAUCAAAAAAAAAAAAAAAAAAAAGACUUGCGACUUUUGAGGUUAAAAGGAUUCAUAAACCACACGGGUGCUUUAUCCUAGUUUAGCCGUUGUUUUGGUAAUGGAGGCAAGACAUGAAAGCUUGUGGUUACUUUUAUUUGUUUUUCUUUUGCUGUGUGAAAUUGUCCUUUGUUGCGUGAACGCUAAGAAAUUGGUCUCUUAGUGCAGCUGCAAUUCUACCCAAUCAAAGGAGAGUUGUACAAUGAUGUGCAUAAAGGAUUUGAACGAAGUGUUGUCAAGCACACCAAGAAUUGUGGCUAACGAUUGUAUUUAUAUUGAUGAGUAACUUAACAAGUACAAUUGUAUUAGGAGUGUGAGACUCUACAUAUAGAAAAGAUAAGACUAGUAAACAGAAACCUAUCUACUUGUACGUCUUGGAGGAAGAGAAGAUAAUUACAAUGUGUCCACAUGACCAUCUUAGGGUAGUGGAAAUUGUAGGGUAUCGUGUUUCCAAAAAGGCUAUUCAACAUGCAUCUCAUGUUCUUGACCGAGCAUGCUGCUGCAUUGAAGAAAGUUGGCAUUGAUCCCGCUUGCCGCUGGCGCAGUGGCGCCAUCAUCGCAUUGGAGCGUACAAGAGUCUUUUAGAGGUCAAGGAG